rnacentral:rRNA from 1 species
CAAGUCGAACGGAGGGCUUUUGAAGCUUGCUUUAAAGGCUCUUAGUGGCGAACGGGUGAGUAACACGUGAGUUACCUGCCCCGAAGUGGGAGAUAGCCCGGAGAAAUUCGGAUUAAUACCCCAUGUGAUCGAAAGAUUAAAGGCGGCGCAAGCUGUCGCUUCGGGAUGGGCUCGCGGCCUAUCAGCUAGUUGGCGGGGUAACGGCCCACCAAGGCGAUGACGGGUAGCUGAUCUGAGAGGAUGAUCAGUCACACUGGAACUGAGACACGGUCCAGACACCUACGGGUGGCAGCAGUCGAGAAUCAUUCGCAAUGGGCGAAAGCCUGACGGUGCGACGCCGCGUGGAGGAUGAAGGCCCUAGGGUCGUAAACUCCUGUCAUCAGGGAGUAAGGGCUUGCGCAGUCACUGGCGCGGGCAUUGAUAGUACCUGAAGAGGAAGGGACGGCAAACUUCGUGCCAGCAGCCGCGGUAAUACGAAGGUCCCAAGCGUUGUUCGGAUUUACUGGGCGUAAAGAGUCUGUAGGCGGCGGGGUAAGUCAGAUGUGAAAUCCCGGGGCUCAACCCCGGAACUGCAUCCGAUACUGCCUUGCUUGAGUAUUGGAGGGGAGCCUGGAAUUCUCGGUGUAGCAGUGAAAUGCGUAGAUAUCGAGAGGAACACUAGUGGCGAAGGCGAGGCUCUGGACAAUUACUGACGCUGAGAGACGAAGGUCAGGGGAGCGAAAAGGAUUAGAUACCCUUGUAGUCCUGACAGUAAACGGUGCACGCUUGGUGUGGGAGGGUUCGACCCCUUCCGUGCCGGAGCUAACGCGUUAAGCGUGCCGCCUGGGGAGUACGGUCGCAAGAUUAAAACUCAAAGAAAUUGACGG